rnacentral:rRNA from 1 species
GAUGAACGCUGGCGGCGUGCCUAAUACAUGCAAGUCGAGCGAACAGACGAGGAGCUUGCUCCUCUGACGUUAGCGGCGGACGGGUGAGUAACACGUGGAUAACCUACCUAUAAGACUGGGAUAACUUCGGGAAACCGGAGCUAAUACCGGAUAAUAUAUUGAACCGCAUGGUUCAAUAGUGAAAGACGGUUUUGCUGUCACUUAUAGAUGGAUCUCGGCCGCAUUAGCUGGUCGUUAAGGUAACGGCUUACCAAGGCAACGAUGCGUAGCCGACCUGAGAGGGUGAUCGGCCGCACUGGAACUGAGACACGGUCCAGAGUCCUACGGGAGGCAGCAGUAGGGAAUGUGCGGCAAUGGGCGAAAGCCUGACGGAGCAAGGCGGCGUGGGUGAUGAAGGCCUUCGGAUCGUAAAACUCUGUUAUUAGGGAAGAACAAAUGUGGAAGUAACUAUGCACGUCUUGACGGUACCUAAUCAGAAAGCCACGGCUAACUACGUG